rnacentral:tRNA from 1 species
GGUUAUCUAGUGUAGCGGUAGCACGUGCGAGCUUGUGGAAUUCUAGACACUACCAGGUAAGUAAAGGCUGGUUCAAGUCCAGUGAUAACCUCCA